AGUGAACGCUGGCGGUAGGCCUAACACAUGCAAGUCGAACGGCAGCACAGUAAGAGCUUGCUCUUACGGGUGGCGAGUGGCGGACGGGUGAGGAAUACAUCGGAAUCUACUUUUUCGUGGGGGAUAACGUAGGGAAACUUACGCUAAUACCGCAUACGACCUACGGGUGAAAGCAGGGGAUCUUCGGACCUUGCGCGAGUGAAUGAGCCGAUGUCGGAUUAGCUAGUUGGCGGGGUAAAGGCCCACCAAGGCGACGAUCCGCAGCUGGUCUGAGAGGAUGAUCAGCCACACUGGAACUGAGACACGGUCCAGACUCCUACGGGAGGCAGCAGUGGGGAAUAUUGGACAAUGGGCGCAAGCCUGAUCCAGCCGUACCGCGUGGGUGAAGAAGGCCUUCGGGUUGUAAAGCCCUUUUGUUGGGAAAGAAAAGCAGCAGGUUAAUACCCCGCUGUUCUGACGGUACCCAAAGAAUAAGCACCGGCUAACUUCGUG
rnacentral:rRNA from 1 species